UACGGGGGGGGCAAGCGUUGUUCGGAAUUACUGGGCGUAAAGGGCUCGUAGGCGGCCAACUAAGUCGGAUGUGAAAUCCCCAGGCUCAACUUGGGAACUGCAUCCGAUACUGGAUGGCUUGAAUCCGGGAGAGGGAUGCAGAAUUCCAGGUGUAGCGGUGAAAUGCGUAGAUAUCGGGAGGAACACCUGUGGCGAAAGCGGCUCACUGGACAGUAACUGACGCUGAUGCACGAAAGCUAGGGGAGCAAACAGG
rnacentral:rRNA from 1 species